UUUAAGUGAAGAGUUUGAUCCUGGCUCAGAGUGAACGCUGGCGGUAGGCCUAACACAUGCAAGUCGAACGGCAGCACAGUAAGAGCUUGCUCUUACGGGUGGCGAGUGGCGGACGGGUGAGGAAUACAUCGGAAUCUACUUUUUCGUGGGGGAUAACGUAGGGAAACUUACGCUAAUACCGCAUACGACCUACGGGU
rnacentral:rRNA from 1 species